GACGAACGCGGCGGCGUGCCUAAUACAUGCAAGUAGAACGCUGAAGCUUGGUGCUUGCACCGAGCGGAUGAGUUGCGAACGGGUGAGUAACGCGUAGGUAACCUGCCUGGUAGCGGGGGAUAACUAUUGGAAACGAUAGCUAAUACCGCAUAAUAGCAGUUGUUGCAUGACAACUGUUUAAAAGGUGCAAUUGCAUCACUACCAGAUGGACCUGCGUUGUAUUAGCUAGUUGGUGGGGUAACGGCUCACCAAGGCGACGAUACAUAGCCGACCUGAGAGGGUGAUCGGCCACACUGGGACUGAGACACGGCCCAGACUCCUACGGGAGGCAGCAGUAGGGAAUCUUCGGCAAUGGACGGAAGUCUGACCGAGCAACGCCGCGUGAGUGAAGAAGGUUUUCGGAUCGUAAAGCUCUGUUGUAAGAGAAGAACGAGUGUGAGAAGUGGAAAAG
rnacentral:rRNA from 1 species